GAGCCUUUGCCCGUGUGGGUUUUCUGUGCUUGAUUAAAUCACAAUAUUUCCUCUGGCUCUGAAGCCAGAAAGGGCCAUUAACUCUUCUUGGCUGGCCACCUGCAUAGCACAGAUCGCUGACUCCCACCCAAUGCUUACUGCUUUGUGCGUGAAAGCUUCUGGCUAAGCUGAUUUCCUUGUCAGAAGAGGUCUCAUCUUUGUACAAAUAUUGAUAGUGAUGGAAAACACUGUGCCCUGUGGCAAUCUGUCCAGGUGUCUAAGCACCCCUCGCUGCUAAGAAUCUGCCUCCCCAGCAUGCAUGCUGGUAUACCAAAAGAAAAUGACAGCACAAAACCCAGCCAAGCUCCUUCGAAAUGUAAAUAGACCGGAACCACUGGUGUCCUCUUAACACAGCAUCAAUCACUGCUGGGUGCUGAAAAUGGCAACACGUUCGUUAUGGUCCAGGCAACCAUCUCAGGCAGCAGAUGGAGAAGGUUUGAGACCUAGUAGCACUGUUUCAGAGACCAGCUCUGUAAUUAUCACAAGGCUCUGCGGCAUCAUUUGGAAACCCUGCAUAUACCCCUUACUCAUGCUGGCUCCUACCUGAGCUUCCUGUGCACCUGCUGUGAAGUAGUAGACAGUAAAGCAAGGCAAGUCCUUAGCUUCUGGUGGGGUCUUCUAGAGAAAAAUUAACCCAUUUACCUUCUCCAAGCAGACCGUGUUUCCAAAAAUAGUAGUCUUUGGAGACUGUUGCUGCAGGUGAAGUGUUGCAGCUGGUGACACAUCCAGCAGCCACAAGAACCGAAUCGGAUCCAUCCGUACCAAAGGAUUCCCAAGCCACAGAGACUUCUCCCAGAAGACAGGGGAACACUGGGAACCAUGCUGGGCUGUCCAUUGGAAUGGUGGUGGUGUGAGAUGCUUUGUUCGGGUGAUGAAGUGUAGGGUGGCUUUUAGCUGUAGUAUCUUCUGACCAAUGAAUACUGGCUUUACCAACCAAACAGUAAGAUGGAGUCUGCUGCUGGUUUCAAGGCAAAGGGAGCAAUUCUUACAAGGAGGAAGGACUGUAGUAAAAACUGUGUUGUGCUCUGAUUUGCCUUUCAGGAUGGCUUUCAUUAGGAAAUGAGGAUGUGACUUCUUGGGUGUGCCAUCUUUGGGGCGAACAAGCAAUGAUCACUCAUCGGUGGAUGGACAUACACCUGGCCUGUUUCAGAUCUCCCUUGGCCAGGUCUACAUGACACAUACCUCACUGAAUUGCUCUGUUGAUCAGUGGGUAGGUAAUAUGUGAUCUUGAUGGACACAAGAGGCCAGAAGACAACUGCUUUGAAGGUUAUAUUGCAGCUGUAGUUAUACCAUAUAUAUACCAUAUAGCAACACUGCUUUCGGGGCUUGUUUUAUUUGAAUAGCUCUAGGGAUGAAUUUUGGUCUGUGUUCAGAAGGACAACGUGCUGUUAUAUUAUCCUGACUGCCUCAUGUAGGAGCAUGCCAGUUCUUGGAUGUCCUUGUGGGAUGUUUGUUUCUCAGCCAAUUUCUGUUCCAAAGCUUGCUUUUUCCAAGAACACCAGGUGGUUAUUGAGUCACUGCUUUUCAGGUUACUGUCUCUUCCAUGCCAUGGAGCAGCCAGGGGGAUGUGAUGCAGCUGCCCAGAGGAGCUGCUGAGGAUUUGUAGUCACUGAAGGCUACUGUGUAAUAGAGGUGAUUAAAAGCUGUGGUGGUGGUAAUGCAACUGAAGCAUCAAUCCAGCCUGAGAGGAACCACAGCUUGGAGCAGUGAAAGAUCUCUUGCCAGUGUAGGAUAUUUGAACUACCUCUGUCUUUUUAAGAUGUUUAUCAUCUGUUGCCUCCAGGGAGGGUGGUUGGGAGCUGUUAUACAUUCUUUUCUCCUCAUUUCUGUAAGAGGACCAUUUCUGGAGCGGAGGGUCCACUUUCUAACUUAGGGAAUAGUUUGACAAAUCAUGACACCUGAAGUGUCACAGAUUCUUCUUCUCAUAAGUAUGUCCUACUGCUUCUCUCCAUCUCCCUGAAUCAAACCCUUGUCUGGGGAGUUGAUUCCCCUUAAAACAAAAUGGUUUUUUUCUCUUUCCCUCCCUCCCCAGCAGUAUCACUUCCCUGAUCCUGCUCUGUGCCUGAUCCAGCAAACUUGAGGGUUGAUUCAAUGAAAAUGGUGCACAGGACCAGAUGUUUCAGGGCUAUGGCCAUCAUUGUCAAAAGAAGCCAUUAGUUGAGUCAGACCUUACAUCCCAAAACAUUACAAGAUGAUGAGACAAGUUGGAUGGAUGGAGGGGAAAAUGCUGCUUCAACCAUUGCCAUGAAAAUGAAGAAGGGUCAUAGUGAAAGAGGGGCAUACCUGUAGGAUCCUCAGUGUGUGCUUAGCCAAGGGUAGCAAUUGCUGUACACCAGUGUGUGGCAUCACAUUAAAAGCUGGCUGUUGUGAGUCCCUUGAGGUUCUGGCAUGCCUUACAACCUACCUAGCAUCGAUAGCAUGAGCACAGUGGGUGAAUGCAUCUUCUGCAAGAAUGAAUAAGCUCUGCCUUCACUAAGAAACUGUCUCUGUCAGAAUUUAGAGGAGAUGAGGACAUUCAUCUGUAUUCAGGACUCCAUCCCCACCAUUCAGUCAUCAGAAUGGAGUGUGACAACACUUUCAACAGGGAAACACACAUUUCGUCAUCUGGACACUCUGGGGUAGUUGAUGCACUCUCAGGUCAGGGCACUCUAUCCCAGCAGCUGGCAAGAGCCACUGGUUUCUGUCACUCCAUCUUUUUCCAGGCAUUGCAACUAGCACAGCCAUAAGCUCCAUGUUAAGCCAGCUGAACCACAAGAGAUCCCCCAUUGUGUUGGGAUGUUUCACAGCCUGUUGGCUGGGGCAGCAGAGGGGCAUCCUGACAUCUCUGAGCAGGAAGAUGUGAAUAGUGGGGUGCUCCUCUCCAGGCCUUAUGUAAUAACAUCUAGGGAUUUGUGUGUCAUCUUCAUUAACAACAUUUUUCUCAGAGGACUGGGAAUGGACUAGAACUCACUCACCUGCCAUGAAAAGUUCUGCUGCUAAAAUUAUGUUUACUGUGGUUUAUCUGAGGAAGCAACUCAGAUGUUGUCCAGUGGAUGGGUGAGAAACAUGGCUUUUCACAUGUGGCAGAAAUGGGUAUUUGGGGUGGGUUUAUCAAUGAAAUCUCAUUGGCUUUAGGUAUAACACCAAUGCAAUUAGUGGAAAAAGCAGGCUUACAGAUUGAGGGUUAGAGGGCAACAGCUGUUCUGGGAUCUGGUGCUCGGAUGUUGAAAGAACUGAAUUGAGAGAAUUGAAGGCACAGCUUGGAGGCUGUGCCUUUCAAGGACCAGCCUAGAACU